UGAGUCGACUGUGUAAUCGCUUUGAAUUCAAAGAGGAAAGUCUGGGCUCCAUAGAGUAGAGUGCCAGGUAAUACCUGGGGAGUGUGAACUUACGGAAAGUGCAGCAGAAAAUAAACCGCAAUGAAAAUUGUAAGGGUGAAAAGGAGAGGUAAGAGCUCACCGCAAUAAUAGUAAUAUUAUUGGCAAGGCAAACCCCACUCGGAGCAAGGCCAAAUAGAAAAGCUAUAGUGUUACUCGCACUGCUUUUGGGUAGGCUGCUAGAUAUGCUUGGUGACAAGCAUACAAGAUUAAUGAUUACAUUUAACAGAACCCAGCUUAUAGGUCGACUCUCCAA
rnacentral:RNase_P_RNA from 1 species